UACGGAGGAUGCGAGCGUCAUCCGGAUUUAUUGGGUUUAAAGGGUGCGUAGGCGGAGUGCCAAGUCAGCGGCAAAAAUUCGGGGCUCAACCCCGUCGUGCCGUUGAAACUGGCGCCCUUGAGUGGGCGAGAAGUAUGCGGAAUGCGUGGUGUAGCGGUGAAAUGCAUAGAUAUCACGCAGAACCCCGAUUGCGAAGGCAGCAUACCGGCGCCCGACUGACGCUGAAGCACGAAAGCGUGGGUAUCGAACAGG
rnacentral:rRNA from 1 species